rnacentral:tRNA from 1 species
UCCGGCGUAGCUCAGUGGUAGAGCGGGUCGCUGUUAACGAUUAGGCCACUGGUUCGAAUCCAGUCGCCGGAGCCA